UCCAGGGGUUGGCUCUAUUGCCACUCCUAUGAUUUCUCCGGUAUGAUUGGGUAGCAGGCUUCUUGGUGCUGGCCAUCACAAUCCGCCAUGACAUGAUACUUACCAUUAGGAGGGCUGAUGACAAGAACCUGAAUAACAAGCUCAAUAGUAUCAUAUGUUCUGUUGUUGUAAAUUGGAUUGUAUUGGUUCCUAACCUUGUUGUGUGAUAUAUUUUGGCAAUAUAUUUUGUAAAUUAUCAUUUCAUGGAGGAUUUUGUAAGUUGAUGUGGUAUAUAUAAAAAUGGAUGGAUGCAUAUUGAA